rnacentral:rRNA from 1 species
UACAGAGGGGGCAAGCGUUGUUCGGAAUUACUGGGCGUAAAGGGCGCGUAGGCGGCACGGCAAGUCGGGAGUGAAAGCCCGGGGCUCAACCCCAGAACGGCUCUCGAAACUGCCGAGCUAGAGUGCGGAAGGGGCAACUGGAAUUCCCAGUGUAGCGGUGAAAUGCGUAGAUAUUGGGAAGAACACCUGAGGCGAAGGCGGGUUGCUGGGCCGACACUGACGCUGAGGCGCGAAAGCCAGGGGAGCAAACGGG